GUCCAGGGACACCUCGGGGCUGCCCGCCUGAAGGCCACAAUGAUGUUCUCUGCUCACAGGACCUGCAGGAGUACAGAGAGGCUGCCAAGUGUCCUGGGGCAGCUCAGUGGGGCAGUAGGACGCGGAGCCCACAGCCUUGCCAACACACCUGCCCACAUGGUGGCUGAAGCCAUGCAGGAUCCCAGCGCUCCCAGCAACCUCCCUUCUGGAACCCACCCAGGUCCCCAGGCCCUCAAUGAAGAGAGGGAGAGCUAACUUCUUCUCAGCUGGUUCUCUGCAUCGUGAAGACACACUGAGAAGUUGGCAGUCUAACUCCUGAAGGAAGGCUCUCCCCGAACCCAACCAUGCUGGCACCAUGAUCUUGAACUUCCAGCCUCCAGAACUCUCGGGCCUGGCAAGCUCCCCAGAGGUGUUAGAUGGAUGAAAGAAGAACCCACAAGUGCGCAGGCUCAUCAAAGAACGGGCUGUUAGCCCCAGCCCCGACGCAACGGCCCCACUGAGAAACCCCAUGCAUCUGCUUGCUGGGGAGCAGACAGACAGAUGGAAGCCAGCGAGGCCUAGGAAUUCUUUGGGGGAAAGAAGCUCAUUUCCAAACGUUGGGGAGACAAGCACCGAGAGACCAGGCAGUGUGGCCCAACUACAAAGCAGGUCCCAGGCUGAAGCAGAGGUGGCACCUGGGUCUCCCCUGAGUCCAGGCUGUCUCCCAACGUCAGGGGGGGCUCCAGCUCCAGUCUGAGAGGCAACGCAUUCAGAAGAGCCCUGGCCGUGAGCAGGUCCUCAGAGAGCACCUUUGGCUACACAUCUCCAUUUUAUAAAGAAACUGAGGCUCCCAGAGACCCCAUGUAAUACUUACAGGGGGCUUUUCCCAGGCUCUUAGGCAUUAAUAAGCAGCCUAGGAGUUAGGGCCAGGCACCCCAUCACCACCUUUGGUCCUCUUGGGAGCCACAGGGCUUGGGGCUGCUGUUUCUGGCAAGGCCUCAUUGCCUUGGAGGCAGUGACGGUGAACCUCUGGGGCAGGGCAGUUGCCUCUGUGGGGUUCUAAUUCCUCAUUCACCUGCCCCCAACACAUUGCAGGCAGUUUCUGGGCCUCCCAGGGGGGCCAUUGCCACACCACUGCCAUUGUCUCCCUGAAACCCUCCGCUUUGCUCCUAUCCCUGGGCUCCCAGAGCAACUCUUCACAAGCCCACAGUCACCUCCCCACCCACUAACUUCCUUCUUGAUUUCGUGACUGUGGCCUUGCCUUCUGCCUUAACGGGAGAAGAAAUAAUACCUCGUUGAGUAGUAACAAUAACCUAUAAGCUGGAAGAACUGGAGAAGGAAGGAGAUGGAGAGGAAUGUGUCCUGAGGGGCCAGGGGGAAGCAGAACAUUUGGGGCUUGGGAGGGUGAGCCCCAAAGUCAGAUUGGACUGUAACUGCUGCCCCUCUUUUAACCAACUAUGUGGGGCCUGAAAGUCAUACCACCUUCACAGACGGUUUCCUUGUCUGGAAAAAUGGAACAACAGAGCCAUUAAGUUGUAUGAUUAUGAGACCUAACGCAUUUGGAUCACUGCUAUAACUAUUCUAAACACUUUACAUCCACACACUCUUUUGAUCUGCACUGCAAACCUGCGAGAUAUGUAUCAUUUCCCCAUUUUACAGAUCAGGAAAAUGAGACACAGAGGUUAAGAUAGUUGCUCAAGAGAUGCCUGGGUGGUUCUGCAGUUGGGCGACUGCCUUAGGCUUUGGUUGUGAUCUGGGGAUCUGGGAUCGAGACCCGCAUCGGGCUCCUGAGAAGCUCCUGCUUCUCCCUCUGCCUGUGUCUCUACCUCUCUCUCUG